rnacentral:lncRNA from 1 species
CAGAGGGCUCCUGGGACAGGUUCUUGCUCAAUGUCUAGGUCAGCUGGGGGGAGGGGGGGUGGGGCACCUCCGGAUGGGACCUGUGUUAGAAGCUACUGCCUCUGGUCAGUCCCAAGCAUGGCCUUUGAACUGACCCAACAACGGGGUAGGGGUGGGGGUGUAGAUUUCCGAAAAAACAGAGCUCAUUCUCAGCUCUUCUGUUAGCUUCUCUGAGCCUCAGUUCCCUUUAUCAGGAAAAUGGGCACACAGCUGCCCCGUGGGUGCCUGUAGGGAGGACCUGUGUUUGUCACACAGCCUGCCCCCUCCUCUGUUGAGUGACCUCAGCCCAGGUUGACCUCCGGGGCACCUCAGCCUGAUCUUAGGCUUCGAGGUUUCCCUUCCAUCUCAACCCCUCAGAUGCUCACACAGCAGCUCUCAAGGCCCCUGUCUGACCCCGUGCUGUGUCUUACGGGGAACACAGCCAGGGGAGCACAACCAGAGGAGCCUGCUGUGUGUGUGCGGGGUGAGUGUUGUAACUUUCCAACCCCAAGCUCAUCACUCAGCCUGGGGACUGGUGAGAAGGACAGUGCUCAGGGCCAAAGGGGCCCUGCAACCCAGCCGGCAGGGAGGUGCACUGGGAAGGUGAGGCGGUGGAGCAGAUGCACUGGGUUGCGUGGAGGUCACGGAGUGGAGACCAAGCCGGCAGCUGUCCGAUCCUCAACCCGCUCCACUGGCAACCAGCGCAGGGACCGUGGCUUGGAGGCGAUCGGCGAGGGGCGCACAUCCAGGGAGCACGAGAAGAGGAUCCAGGACCCCACCCCAAGGCCCAUCCACCCCAGUCGCCGAGGGCGCCGGGGCCUCGCGCCACACCUGUCCGCUCCUCCCGGAGGCCCCGGCGCCGCUGCUGCCGGCCCCUCGGCGCGGAGCCCUGUGUCCGCCGUCGCUUUGAUCCCGGGGGCCCCGCUGGAUAAAAGUCCCGGGCGGCUCCGCGCCAGCGCCAGAGGGGGAGGCAGCCGAGCCGGGCGUACCAGCGGGCUGGCGCAGGACAAGCGACGCCGAGGAGCCGGGGCCGCGGGGCCGCCCGCGCCGGCCGCGGUGAGCGCGGGGCUCCGGGCGCGUUCGGGGUGGGGGAUGCCGGCCGGGGUCCGGGUGGCCCGCGGGCUGCUCUGGGCCUGGGCAGCGAGGGUGAGAGGGACCCCGGCGGCUCAGGUGAGCGCGGCCCCCCUGCGCCACCGGCCCGUCGGGCCCGGACCCGCUGCGCGGCGG